GAGGCCCAACGGUAAAGAACAUUUGCCCACCUCAUGAGACUAUUGUUCAAGGAAAGUCAACUUAUAUUCAGUACAAGGGUCACUUCUGGCAUGCUCAUCUUGCGGAAAGCCAUCCACCAUGGAAGAUAGCUCACUAGCCCACUAUCUCUGUGGUGGAGAAGCCAAGUGCAGCUCUUCUGGUUGACAGUCUCAACUAAAUCCAGCCCUUUAUCAUCUCAAGGUUCCAGACAGCUCUGCCUUUCCCAUUGCAUAGCUUCAAUGCUUUCACGCCGAUAGAUCUCCAG